rnacentral:rRNA from 1 species
UGCGUAGGCGGUUUGUUAAGUCUGUUGUGAAAUCCCCGGGCUCAACCUGGGAAUGGCAAUGGAUACUGGCAAGCUAGAGUGUGUCAGAGGAUGGUGGAAUUCCCGGUGUAGCGGUGAAAUGCGUAGAGAUCGGGAGGAACAUCAGUGGCGAAGGCGGCCAUCUGGGACAACACUGACGCUGAAGCACGAAAGCGCGGGAGCAAACA